CUGCAGACUGUCCCACAGGAAGAAAGAAACAUUCACCGGUGUGAACAGGUUUUCAAUGCAGAUCCAAAAAGGUUGUUUCCAGAGCCUAGCUAUUGUGAGUUGGACUGAUACAAACACAGAUAUGCAAAUAGAGAGCUCUGGGAGUGAUUUGCUUACAAAAUCACAAGUGAUUUCCACUCAUUUUCCCAGCAUCAGCACUCAGAAUACCCAGUUCUAAACAGGCUGCAGUGGUGUAUACCUCUCUCUUCCAGGUUGAGUUUCAAUUAGGUUUCGUUACCAUGUGACUAUCAGCCCUGCAGGAGGUGGAGAGGCAUCAUCCACUCCCCAGAGAUGAUUGAAGAAUAACGUAACAGAAUUCUGGGAUAUGAGCAAGACUCCAGAAACACAAGUCUCCUGUGGAUUGUGGGAAAUCGCAAAGCAUUUCUUCUGAUAUUAUUUAAAACUCCAAACCUAAUGGGAGACAAACCAUAAAACUAAAUGUUACAGUCCAAAAGUAAUCUCCCUUUCCAACAGGAAAAAAAAAAGUCACAGUUCUAACUGAUAACA